AGCAGCCGCGGUAAUUCCAGCUCCAAUAGCGUAUAUUAAAGUUGUUGCAGUUAAAAAGCUCGUAGUUGAAUUUCGGGAUUAAUAUGUUGGUCGUGCCUUGGUACGUACUGGCAUUAUUGAUUCCUACCUUCUGAAGAACCUCGAUGUCAUUAAUUUGGUGUCUUGGGGAAUCAGGACCGUUACUUUGAAAAAUUAGAGUGUUUAAAGCAGGCUCGCGCUUGAAUACAUUAGCAUGGAAUAAUGAAAUAGGACGUUUGAUUCUAUUUUGUUGGUUUCUAGGAUCGACGUAAUGAUUAAUAGGGAUAGUUGGGGGCAUUAGUAUUCAAUUGUCAGAGGUGAAAUUCUUGGAUUUAUUGAAGACUAACUACUGCGAAAGCAUUUGCCAAGGAUGUUUUCAUUAAUCAAGAACGAAAGUUAGGGAUCGAAGACGAUCAGAUACCGUCGUAGUCUUAACCAUAAACUAUGCCGACUAGGGAUCGGAUGAUGUUAAUUUUUAAUGUACUCAUUCGGUGCCUUACGG
rnacentral:misc_RNA from 1 species